UGGAGGGUGGUGAAACUGGCAUCACACCGGCCUUUGGAGCCGGGUUUGAAGGUUCGAGUCCUUCCCCUCCAGCCA
rnacentral:tRNA from 1 species